UGAUAGUGUUGCCCUGUGCAUAUGAGAUUUCUCUUCUCCUUUUUCCAAAUUGCUUUUUCUCUUUUCUCCAGGUAUGUUUACUUUCUGAUGGGUUUGGAUUGAAUUUGCGUCUCUCUCUCUCUUCCAAAACUUUGUUAAAUUUUCUCACUUUUUCUCAUAUCAAAAGAAGAAAACCCAUAAAAUACUUUAUAGUAUGUAACUGAGGGAUAAAGAUCAGCAGCUGCUAACAGUAGAACACUAAUUUAUUUCGGUGCGGGAUCAUCAUCAUAUAUAUAUGACAAUAGUUUAUAGUUGCUUGAUUUGAAUGGCUAAGAAUUGAAUUGAGAAAUUUAUAUUGUAACAAUGCCAGGUGUUCGGGUCAUCUUAGAAUGAGAAAAUUGUUGUUGGGUACUGAUGGUUUCCUUUGCAAACAUCUGGAUUUGUUAUUCUUUCUUUUUUGUGAUCAUUUUCGUUUAUUUUAAAGGUGUGCAGGAACCAUGUCCUGGGAAUUGUUUUUAAUAUGAAUUAUCUAGAGAAAUGUUUUUGAUAUCUUUGUCACUUUUGGAUAUUGAAAGUUUCUAAUAUUCUUAUAUUGACAGGUUUUGUGUGGCUGCUCUGAGAUCCACCCUCCUCUACAGAAGGUUAGAUUGCAUAUAUUGAUUCAAAGGGCCUCAUAGUUUUGAUGAUGGAGAAGGCAGUGGAGUCUUUCAUAGUGUUAAUGAUAAGGAAGGAGUAACUGUUGCCAGAGUGGAAGGUAAUUCACCUAUAUGAUGCUAACAAACAAAGAAUACAGAAUUUGACCUGAGUAAAUGAAAUGCCAACCCCUGAAGUCUAAAGGCAUGUUCAAUUAACAACAAUGAUAAUAAUUCCCUUCAUUCCAUUGUAAAUUCUAAGUUCUGGUAUCGUUCUUACCACCCUUUUGAUAGUUUUUCUUUUAUAGGGACAUUGAAGGGUGCUAAUUCCUCAUGGCGUAGCUUUUUGUUUCCAUGUAGUAAUUUCAUUCUGAGACAAUUCAGGAUAGUGAGUGGAUUUUCAUUCAGGCUGUGUGUAUUUUUGGCAUUGACCAACAAUUUAUUGUAAUUUGAUGGUUUGUUUUAGGUUAUAGGCUUGCUGUAUGUUUCUCAUUUAAAUUUGUUACAUUUGACAUUUUCUUCUGUGUACUCUCAGGUUACUUAAGAGAACCUUAAUGCUGAUAAAUAAUGAAUGAAAAGUUGAAGAAGGUAGAGUAUCUUGAUCAUUGGAAUUAUCAGUAUCAUUUAGGAUUGAAUUAAGAAACCACUGAAGAAGAGAAGAAAUGUAGCAUCUGUAUUUUGAAAUAGCAGUCAAUAUCUAACUUAUAACUAUCAAAUCAAAACAACUAUCAUUAUUAUUUUCAAUGGCCAGUCUACUAUUGAACUAUAUUAACAAAAUCUUUUGUUGCCUGGGUUAAUGUGAUGUUCAAUAUGUUUUAUGAUUCUGCAGAGGUUGAAAGGUCGAACAUGUUUGGGAUUCAAAGUAUAAGGAUCUGGUGCCAAAUUUGCUGGUUAGACUUUCAAUAUAUUUAAAUGACUAUAAAAUCUUGCUGAAUGAAAAAAAAAAAAGCGACGUGCAAGGGCAACCUGAAAAAUGAACUCGAGCAUAUUAGGCAAUCCAUUGGAUUCAUUAUGACUUAUAAAUCUUAUGUCAUAUCAUUGUUUUCUAAUUAUAGACACAAUGAUGAAAUAUGAAUAGUUGUUAUUGACUACUUUCAUUUAAAAACGGGCAUGCUGGUUUUUAUCACACUGCACACAUCUUGGGGAGUUAACCCAAACAAUUGAGACCUCAAGGGGUUAAAAACAAUUGCAAGGCUCUUGCAAUGUCAUAGAAGAGAGGACUGAGAAGCUUAUCGGGUAUGCUUGCGUUUUUUGUAUUGAAUGAGUUCUAUUUUUUAUUUAUUUAGUAGAUGGCUGGGUUUUUCAAACUGUGUUUACAUUGGUGAACUGCGAGAUUAUUGAUCAUAUGAAAUACUGUGGUAGUUUUCUGAUUUAGGGAUUUGUUCCAAGUUUGUCUGUAUUUUUGCUAUAUCUUUCAUCUCCUUCUUGGUCUAAUGAGAUUUAAUGUGAUUUUCUGGAAUCAUAAUGGGAAUAAAUUUGAGUAAAAUUUGUUGGCAAUGGUAGCAAAGUUUGGUUUUGAGUUGCCGAUUAGGGUUUUAGUGUUAUUAUUCAAGUGGUUUGUAGUUUGUAGAGUGAGUGUGGUUUCACGUUUCAUGAAAGAGUGUUGAUUAUUUUCUUAUGGUUUGGUUUGUUUCUGGAUUCAUGCUUGGUGAUUCAUUAACUGAGGUACCUUGAGUAAGAAAUUGUGAUCCGGUUCUAUUCCAGCUAAUGAAGAUAAUACUAUAGUAAAAUAUGUUUUUGUUGAUAUCAAAUUGUUAGUUGCUUUUUAUUAAGAAUGGUCACAAGGAACUGGAUUUGCAAUUUUUCUUAUGAUGGUAGUUUUCCAAUUGUUUUUUUUUCCAGUGAGGAGGUGUACAUACAUUGUGAGAGUGUGCAGCCUUUUGCUGCUGCAUCAAUAUACCUCUGAUAUAUAAGAUAACAGCAUGUUUGUUCUAACCUUGAUAUUAAGCAGGGCAUCUAAUGCGUAUGUCUUCUUAUAUUAUAAUAAUAUUGGCGGGAUAUGCCAAAUAAAUAAGAAAACAUGUAAAUAAAAGUCAUCUAAUUGAUAUAAGUAAUUUGUUUAGUUUCUGUGGUAUGUAUCGUGCAGCACAAAGGCUUCCAAUUAAGCUUAAAAAGACAUUGUUAAGCUAACAGUUGACCUUUAUCAAUAGUUAAGCCUGAAUAAGAUUUUUGCUCUCUAUACAUGCCGGUGGUACCAUUAUUUUGUUCGGGUAUUAUGUUAUAUUACUUUAAGGAAAAAAUCAAGCUAUUUGUAUGUUUUUGUGAGAGGGAGAGGGAGAUGAACAAGAGGAGGAAGAUGUCUAAGAAGAGUAAGAGGAAAAGGAAUAACAGAGAAGAACACGAUGAGAAAGAAAAGACAGUGAAAAGCAAUGGACUUUGAAAUAUGAAAAUACUGUGCUUCAUGCUCCAGCUUUUACCUUUUGGAAUGUAAAAAAGAACAUCUAUGUUAGUUAUGUAUUUGUAGAUUUCCAAUCAGAUGAGUAAGUGAAAUUCUUAAUUUUCCAACCAAAUAAACUAAUCAACCUUUGUUUGCAUUUGUAUGCUUUUCCUUUGUAAUUACUAAUUAACUUUUACAUUCUGUAUUUCAAUAUGUAAUUCACACUACCAUAUGCCGCUGCAGAGCGC